rnacentral:rRNA from 1 species
UGCUUGACACAUGCUAAUCGAACGUCUAAUUUCAUUAGAAAUAAUUUAGUUAGAAGUGGUGUACAGGUGAGUAAAUGAUAUUAUGGCUACCUUGGAGUAAGGGACAUUAAAAUCCCUUAUAUCAUACUAAUUCUUAGUAUUAAAAGAAAUUUAUUUUCGCUCCUAGAUGGAAAUUAAUAUCUCGGACAGGUAGUAGUUAAGGUAAUGGCUUAACUAGCUUAUGUCCGUAGUCGAGACUGAGAGGUCGAUCGAUCACAUUGGGUCUGAAAAAACCCCAAUGCGUAUAGUACAGCAGUGAGGAAUAUUGGUCAAUGGCCUAACGGCUGAACCAGCAACUUGGGGGAAUGGAUAUAUAUAUUAGAAAUAAUAUAUAGUACCGACUCUGUCGGAUAAAGUUCUAGAUAGAAUAAUGAUAAUGACAAUUUUCUAUCUAUAUGUCUUGACCAAAUCUUGUGCCAGCAGUCGCGGCAACACAAGGGAGACUGGUGUUAUUCAUCUUUAUUAGGUUUAAAGGGUACCUAGACGGUAUAUCAUGCCCCAAAAGGGAACGGAUAUACUAGAGUUUUAUGUGAGAGGUAAAUAUAGUACUAUUGGUGUAGAGAUAAUAUUCAUUGAUACCUCUAGGCACGGGUAACGGCGAAGGCAAUCCUCUAUGUAAAAACUGACGUUGAGGGACGAAGGCUCGGGUAACGAAUAGGAUUAGAUACCCUAAUAGUCCGGGCAGACAAUUAUGAAUGUCAUAGAUUAGAAGUUUUUUUGGUCUAUAAAUGAAAGUGUAAGCAUUCCACCUCAAGAGUAAGGCGGCAACGUUGGAACUGAAACCAUUAGACCGUUUCUGAAACCAGUAGUGAAGU